GGCUUUAUAGUGGAAAAAAAGACGUUAAAUUGCAAAUUUAAAGAUGUAAUUAGUUACUAAAGCUU
rnacentral:tRNA from 1 species